AAAAUCAACUGACAUGGUAUAUGACGAGACUGGUUAUUCCCAAUCUGGAAUGAGUGGAAUUAUAAAAGAAGAACUAAAAUAUUUCAUCACUCUGCAUAUGAAACAGGAUUAUUGCUGUACCAGUAAGUGUUUUGAAGUGGCUUCUUAAAUUGCUACUUUUUUAUUAUGUGAGCUUAAGUACUUUAUUUUGCAAGGAGAGAGAUUCUUGCAGUGAGUCUGACUGGGUUUAGCUAUAAGUCAGUCUCACAAGAUAAAUACUCCACUUUCAUUUAAGUGUCCUGUCACUUGAUAGCUUGUCAAAAUUUUAAUUUUUCCAUUUUUAAUGUUCCUGUUCAAGUAAAUUGAAAACUUUACAUAUAGAUAUGUAAGAGAGAGAGAUAGCAUAUCUAACCAUACACUGAAAACUACUGACAUUUCAUCAAUACAUGAAAGAUGUUGCUACUCAUAGCGAGAUAAUUGUUACUACAGAGCAGGCUCUUUUAGUCAAAAUGCUUCUUUGAAGAAAUAGUGGGGCAGGCAGGUAGAAAUUGUGGUGCUAGUUAUGUAGGGCAAAGGUUGGGAUACUGAGAGCAUACUUGAUUGUUUUUGUUUUGUUUUUGCAAGUCAAUAUGUUUUCCUGUUUGGGUUGCAUAUGACCCUGAAGUAGACUGUAGUUUCAUGUACAAAUGUAUUACAAUGAAACAUUUGUAUUUGACUUUUAACCAUCACAAUUUCCCUUUGUGCACAGCAGCAGCCUGGGCAUAUUAUAUCAAAUCAAAAUCAAAUCAAAACAGACUUUAUUGUCUGCCCAGGAGACCCAGGAGCCAACGCUUACAAAUAGUUUGGAAGUAACAGGCAAGAAUGGAGGAACAAGUCCAAGGACAAAGCCAUCUGAUGAUGGGUCAUGCUGUUGAGGAGCACAGAGAGAAAUGUUUCGAAGCUUGCUCCACAUAUGAAUCAAGUUACGAAAUGUAGGUGAACAAGGAAUGACUCCAGCAGCAAUCCCAUGUUUCAGGUGAGAAAUUUGAUAGGCUGGAAGAGGAAUCUGUGUGUAGAGAAUUUAGGGGGGAAAGUGGCUGUUGUGAAAUCUAAUUAAAGCUUUUUUCGCAACAACUAGCCUGAAGACUUUGAAGACUCAAAUUCUUUGUUGUAAAUAAAUGUU